rnacentral:rRNA from 1 species
UACGAAGGGGGCUAGCGUUGCUCGGAAUCACUGGGCGUAAAGCGCACGUAGGCGGCUCGUUAAGUCGGGGGUGAAAUCCUGGAGCUCAACUCCAGAACUGCCCUCGAUACUGACGAGCUCGAGUCCGGGAGAGGUGAGUGGGACUGCGAGUGUAGAGGUGAAAUUCGUAGAUAUUCGCAAGAACACCAGUGGCGAAGGCGGCUCACUGGCCCGGUACUGACGCUGAGGUGCGAAAGCGUGGGGAGCAAACAGG